rnacentral:lncRNA from 1 species
GAACAUGAAUGAAAUGCUUUUUCCUUUUCUUAAGCAGGGAGCUUACUCUCUUAUGUAGGUUGAUGUAAGGCUCCCAUAUGUGGAACAAAGUGCUCUGGGACCAGCCAAGAUCAAACACUACUUCUUUGGGUGUAUCUGAUGUGCCUGGUGCUUGGCUCCAUUUGGAAUUGGGGUCUUGAUGAUUUGGAAUUAACUGCAUCUGCUUUUUUCAGGGUAGGUGCCCACUUGCUGUGGAGGAUGUGAUGGCAUUUGUUUACCUUGGAGUUGAUCAGGAGCAGCAUGAAUGGAAAAUGUUCUUCUUUUCUGUGUUCUGGUUUACACAGAAGUAAACCUCUUUAGAGUUGGUGAGUGUGAUGACGAGGCUUCCAUGGAAGCAUGAACUUCAGAUGAGCUCCUUGGGGGCACAAGGGAUAGAACUGAGCUGCUGUUACCAGGCAGACACUGGAUACUGUAGUUGCAGUCACUGGAGCUGUGGGAUUUCUCCUCGAGCACCACACACUGUAUGGUCACAAGUCCCUGCAGAGUCUGUUAGGGAGCAUCCAUUUACCUGCAAAUACAUGCUGUAAACUGGCCUACAUGAAAUGUGGAUAAUUAACUUGCCAUCACCUUGUUUUCUGUGAAUCCACAGCCACAUUAUCUACUUGGUAUGCUGAAGCUUUAGAGUGAUGUAUGUUCUUCCUUGUGCAG